AUGACCUAUGAAAUGACAGCCA
rnacentral:ncRNA from 2 species